rnacentral:rRNA from 1 species
UACGGAGGAUGCGAGCGUUAUCCGGAUUUAUUGGGUUUAAAGGGUGCGUAGGCGGCCGAGUAAGUCAGCGGUGAAAUUUUGCAGCUUAACUGUAACAGUGCCGUUGAUACUGCAUGGCUAGGAUUUGGUUGCUGUGGGUGGAAUGUGUGGUGUAGCGGUGAAAUGCUUAGAUGUCACACAGAAUAUCAAUUGCGAAGGCAGCUCACAAAGCCAAGAUUGACGCUGAGGCACGAAAGUGUGGGGAUCAAACA